rnacentral:rRNA from 1 species
UACGGGGGGAGCAAGCGUUGUUCGGAUUUACUGGGCGUAAAGGGCGCGUAGGCGGCGCGGUAAGUCACUUGUGAAAUCUCUGAGCUUAACUCAGAACGGCCAAGUGAUACUGCAGUGCUAGAGUGUGGAAGGGGCAACUGGAAUUCUCGGUGUAGCGGUGAAAUGCGUAGAUAUCGAGAGGAACACCUGCGGCGAAGGCGGGUUGCUGGGCUGAUACUGACGCUGAGGCGCGAAAAGCGUGGGGGAGCAAACAGG